rnacentral:lncRNA from 1 species
UACAGGUGAAAUAAAUGUUCUGGUUUUACAUCCCCAACGGCCAUAUUAAGUUCACCAACAACCUCAACGGCUGUAAAUCUAUUAGAGGGUAUAAAUACCAUCUUUUAAAGUCCUACAACAUCCAAGAAAAUACUUUCAAGCAAAAAUCAUCAAUCAAACAACCUUAGAACUUAAAUUUUCAUAUUCUUCGUACACACACUUGUGAGUUUUAUCUUUAUUCUUUUGCUCAAGUGUAUCUCAUUGUAUUUGUGCUUCAAUUUGCAAACAAUUUUAUCUAUCUUGUAAGAAUUGUUUCUUUGUUUGCUCAUUUGUAUCUCUUUGAGAGGGCUUGAAACUUAAGAUUUGGGGUAGAAAUCUUAAGGAGUUGUAAGGUUAAACAUUAUUCUCAAAGGUUAGAACAAAUUAGUGAAUUUGGGAAAAUCCUUAGUGGUGAAAAGCUAAGGUAGUGGAGUAGGCAAUUGGGGCCAAACCACUAUAAAUUCUUUGUGUUCAUUGUUUCAUUCUUAGCUUUUCUUGCACCAAAUUUUUUAAAGGCCAAUUCACCCCCUCUUGGCAUUUUCGGUUUACUUCAUCAAGAUAUCAAUAAUAUUUCAUGCAAUUAAUACAAUUAUAAAACUUAAAUAAGUUGUUUUAUACAAUUCAAUCCUUCCAUCAUCAUUUUACAAAAUUACCCUGACAUUUUACCUUUCACGCAAUUUAAUCCCUAAGUCUUAUACUUGUAAAUUCACUAAACUUAAUCAUUACUCAUGUUGGCCGAAUAUUCUAGGGACCUAUUACAGCCCAUAUUUAUCAUUAUUUCACAAUAUUUCUAUGAAAUUUAACUAUUUUCAUAAAUAAGUCCCUAAACCAUAAAAUCACUAAAAAUCACUUGACAAAACUUGUUUAUUUAACCACCAAAUUUAAUAAUCUAUCAUCUAAAUUCAAAAUAUAUUCAAAAUAUAUCAUGGCAAGUCCCUAAAAUUUUAACAAAUUUAUAAAUUAACCCCGGGCUAGCUAGAUUAAGCUAAAAUGAGUUCAAAAAUAUAAAAAUUAUUUAAAAUGGAUAAAAAAAAUCAUACCAUGCAAAGGACUUAAGCUUGGCUGAACCUUGAGGAUGCAAAAAUGGUGGUUUUUCCUUCUUCAUUUUUGGUGAUAUUGGAGAAGAAGAUGAUAGCUUUCUUUGAUUUAAUCUUGUUUUAAUUUAAUUUAUUUAAUUACCAAUUUACCCUUAGUAUAAUAACUAAUAACUACAAGAAUUUGUCCAUAAAUGUCCACUUGCCACCUUUGUGGUUUAUUUACCAUAUAAGCCCAUUAAUUAUAGAUUCCAUAUCCAUUUGACCCAUUUAGCAAAUAGAAUUCCACUUUUGCAACAUUUACGAUUUAAUCCUUUUUACUUAAUUAACUAUCUAAACCUUAAAAAUUCUUUACCAAAUUUUAAUACAACCUUAAUAACACUCCGUAAAUAACGAGAUCUCGAUAGCUCAUUUUUUAAAACCACUUGAACCUAACUAUUCAUUCAAACAAUAUAAAUUAUUAAAUCAAAAUUUAUUACAACACUAUAUUUGACUCGUAAAUAUUAAAUAAUAAUAUUUACAGACUCGUUUGUCGGAUUUGUGGCUCCAAAACCACUGUUUUCGAUACCACUGAAAAUGGGCUGUUAUAGUAUAUUUUUAUAUUAACUCUGUAAAUAUUCUUAUUUCAUAUUUACGGACUUGGUUUACGGAAAUGGAGUUUCGAAAUCUUUUUUUCUACACCACUAGAAUUCGAGUCGUUACAUCGUAUAAGGCUCGUUUAAGAUUGUAUAUCAUGUCAUAAUGAUGUUCUGGACUCAGUAAUAUGUAUUAAUUGUUAAAUUGAACUGUAAUCGAUCGUAGUUGUUCUGAUAACGUAUGUGACAUUUUGUAGCUCAGACCUGGUGAUUGGGUCACUAUGGGGUGUUGCAACAAUAUUUAUUCAAUUUGAUCUCUACUCUUUUAUUAGAUAUAAAUUAGAAAUUUUGAAACUAAUAAGGCUAAAGGAUAAAAAAAGGCCAUAAUAACAAUUUUAAAAAAUCAAUUAAGUCCUUUUAAAAUUUAAAAUUUAUUAAAAAAUUAAAAAAUUUAUAAAAAAUUUUAUAAAAAAUUAAAAUUAUAAAAUUUUCAUUAAAAAAAAUAAUACCAACCCAUUAAAAUCUAAUGGUUAUAAGUUUUUUUUUAAAAAUUUUGAUCCUUACUCUUUUAUUGGCUUGGUAUUGUUAUUUUUAAUAAAAAUGUAAUUUUAAUUUUUUUAACUUUUUAAAUGAUUUUUUAAAUAAUUUUUAAAAUUUAAAAGGUCUUAAUUGAUUUUUUUAAUUUGUUACGAACUGCUUUUUGAUACUUUAUCCUUAUUAGUUUAAAAAUGUUCUAAUCUACUUCCAAUAAAGGAAUAUGAGUCAAAUUGAAUAAAUAUGUAAAGGUUGAAGGCUAAAUUUUUUUUUAUUAUAUCUUAUAUAUACACACCAAAACAAACAUUUGACCAUGCAAUUUUAACAAAAGGGCUAUUUUGCUCACCCGUCUAACAUUUUGGUGAUACUUUUACCUUCUAUCCCGCUUAUUUAUAUGAAUAAUAAAACAAUAUUAUUUGAUUUAUUUUUAUUAAGUUUAAAGUAUUAUUAAAUAUAAAUAUAAAUAUAAAUUAACUAUUUAUUAAUUUUAUAAACAUCAAGUAGACCAAACAAAUUUACUGUAUAUAAACAUUUUAAUCUAAAAUUUUUAUGGCUAAAGGGCUUAAGGCCCUAAACUUUUUUUUUUUAAAUCAACUAAAAUUUUAUUUAUUUUCACUCAAUUGAGUCUUUAAACUUCAAAAUUACAUUUAACUAAUUCCUUUGGUCGUCAAAGGGUAAAUGCUGCCAUUUUGGGAGAUAUUUUCGUCAUGUGGCACGCCAAUAUUGUUUCACGUGGUGAAAUUUAGUGUUUUAUAUCUAAAAUUAUUCAAAAAGUAUUAAAAAUAUAAAAAUAUAGAAAAUAAAUAUAUAUUAUAAAAAUACAUAAACGUGAAAAAUUUUAUUAGAAAUUAUAAAAAAUAGAGAAGUGCAAAAAAUUUAUAUAAAAUUCACGUUAUAUGAAAUACGAAAAACUAAAAGAAGUAAAAAUUAAAAAAAAUUAAUAAUACAAAAAUAUUAAAAAUGAAUAAAUUUUACAAAAUAUUAUAAAAAGCAUAAAAAUAUUAGAAAAUAUAUAUGAAAAAAAUAAAAAUCAUUUUUUCAUUUGCACACUAACCAUCAUUUGACCCUCGAAACUAUUUGUUGUACACAUUUACUAUCAACCUUCCGGAGGCUUGUACCUUUCUUUCUAUCGUCAAUGUCAAGGGAGUGUUUUGAGAUGCAAAUUAAGGUAGGGAAAUAAGCUAAGAACACAAGGGACAAUAGAGGUUGUAUAUAAAAUUGUAAAUAUUUUUAAAAUUUGUAUCUUUUUUAAAAUUUUAUAUAAUUUUUAAAAUUUUCUAUUAUUUUUAAUAUUUUUUGCACUUUUCUAUAUUUUUAUAAUAAUUUUCUAUAUUUUAAAAUUUUCCAUAUUUUUAACAAUUUUUAUUUUUAAUUCAUAUAGUUUUAAAAUUAUUCAUUUUAAUAAUUUAUAUAAUUUGUAUAAUUUUUGAGACAUUUAUACUAUUUUUUUAUACUUUUUGCAUUUAUAUUUAUUUUUUAUAAUUUUUUUGUGAUUUUGAAUAUUUUAGUUUUUUAAUAAUUUCUUUUACGAUUUUCAGUAUUUUUUACCGAUUUUGAGAACAAAACAGCCCCAAAAGGGCAGCUGUUACCCCAAGGGGCUUAAUUAUUAUAAUUUUGAAGAUAAGGGGCUCAAUUGAGUGAAAAAAAAUAUAAGGGCUUAAUUGAUUUUUUUAGAAAAUUUCAGGGGCUUUUAGCUAUUUUUAUUAGUCAGGGUUUUUCAUUAUAAUACAUUUCAUUGCAACUGCUGCGUUUAAGUAUAAACAUAUUAAAGAAACAUGUGUAAUGAAUAAAAAAGAAGAAUUGGGUCAAAGCUACUCUUCUUUGCAAGCAAAAGACUAGUAGGUAGCAGAGUUGAGCAUUUAAGAGCUUAUGCAUUGUACAGAUUCCAUGUAUUUCAUUUUAUAUUUGAAUUUACAAUCAUUGAACAAAAGAUAAAAUAGAUACAACAAAAUGCCAACAUGAUCCUUGUGAUUAAUGUUAGCAACAGUUGAUUGAUCCUUUAUGAACUUAGACCUACCUUUAAUCAAAAAAAAUAUAGUGAGGUUAAUGUUUAUAGAUUUGUAAAGAAGAGAGUUGGAUGCAUCAUUUUGAUAGAUUAUAUAAUUAUAACCUAAUUGAUCAACUAUUUUCAAUGGUAAAUUAGAUGUAAAAUGUUGACUGUUAGAUUCAUCUCCAGCAACUAUCCCUACUCACAAGUCAACUGCACCCAAGUGUGAACAGCAGACGGGCAGGGCAUAACCACCAAAAUAGUUUGGUCUUUAUUUCUCAUGAAACUAAAUAUUUUUCCAUAAAACAUUUGAUUAAUUCAUAAGAUACCCUCAAAAACAUUGUUUCCCCCAUCUUCUUUGGACAGUUCCAGUGUUAUUUUGGUCACUUGCAAAGAAUGUUGUAGAGCUGACUGGUAGGCAUGGCUCAGUUAGCAUUAAUUUUCCACCUUAUAUACAAUACAAAUGCAAGAUUAAGAUCAGAUAUCACUGGCAACCCCGUUGAAAAAAUAUGGGUUUCCAAAGAAACAUAUUGGGUUUCCUUUUCUUGAUAUUGGCUUCACUAACAAGCCUCUCUUCUAGCCUUCCUAGUGAAUACUCCAUAGUGGAACAUGAGAUUGACGCAUUUCUUUCGGAGGAAAGGGUGUUGGAGAUCUUCCAACAGUGGAAAGAAAAGCAUCGGAAAGUGUACCGGCACGCCGAGGAGGCUGAGAAAAGGUUUGAAAAUUUCAAGGGGAAUUUGAAGUAUAUCCUAGAGAGGAAUGCAAAGAGAAAAGCAAACAAAUGGGAACAUCAUGUGGGAUUGAACAAGUUUGCUGAUAUGAGCAAUGAGGAGUUCAGAAAAGCUUACUUGUCAAAGGUGAAAAAGCCCAUCAACAAAGGGAUAACCCUGUCAAGGAACAUGAGGAGAAAGGUGCAGUCUUGUGAUGCACCCUCAUCCUUGGAUUGGAGGAACUAUGGAGUUGUGACUGCUGUCAAGGACCAAGGUUCUUGUGGUAAGAAAAUGCCCUACAUAUAGUGUAAGUUCCCCUUUGAGAAAAAACCUGAAUAACUGUGUCCUAUGUUUGCAGGAAGUUGUUGGGCAUUCUCAUCAACUGGAGCCAUGGAAGGAAUCAAUGCCUUAGUUACUGGAGACCUAAUUAGCCUUUCAGAACAAGAACUUGUAGAUUGUGAUACCAGCAACUAUGGGUGUGAAGGAGGAUACAUGGACUAUGCUUUCGAAUGGGUUAUAAACAAUGGCGGGAUCGAUAGCGAAAGCGACUACCCCUACACUGGUGUGGAUGGCACAUGUAACACCACCAAGGUCUGAUUCAUUUUUGUUUCAGUAGUUCAACCAGUUCUUCCUCUAAUUCUAAUGUAUUUGUCUUUAAUCAGGAGGAAACCAAGGUUGUAUCUAUUGAUGGCUAUCAAGAUGUAGAGCAAUCAGAUAGUGCUCUUUUAUGUGCCGUUGCUCAGCAACCUGUUAGUGUGGGAAUUGAUGGUUCCGCCAUUGAUUUUCAACUUUACACUGGUGUAAGUAUUUGUUUGGAACCUGGAAACUUUUUGUUUAAAACGAAAUUUUUGGGGUAAUGAAAUUCGUAUGGCAUGAUGCAUGAAUAGGGAAUUUAUGAUGGGAGCUGCUCGGAUGAUCCAGAUGACAUUGAUCAUGCUGUUUUAAUAGUUGGUUAUGGUUCAGAAGACAGUGAAGAGUAUUGGAUAGUGAAGAAUUCAUGGGGAACAAGUUGGGGGAUAGAUGGAUAUUUCUAUCUAAAAAGAGACACUGAUUUACCAUAUGGUGUUUGUGCUGUCAAUGCCAUGGCUUCUUAUCCAACUAAACAAUCCUCUUCACCAUCCCCUUAUCCAUCGCCAAGUGUUCCUCCACCGCCACCUCCUUCAACUCCACCACCACCACCACCUCCAUCUCCUUCACCAAGUGAUUGUGGAGACUUUUCCUAUUGUUCAAGUGAUGAGACAUGCUGUUGCCUUUUUGAAUUCUAUGAUUAUUGCCUAAUAUACGGCUGCUGUGAAUAUGAAAAUGCUGUUUGCUGUACUGGAACUGAAUACUGCUGCCCUAGUGAUUACCCCAUUUGUGAUGUCCAAGAAGGACUCUGCCUCAAG